rnacentral:rRNA from 1 species
GACGAACGCUGGCGGCGUGCCUAAUACAUGCAAGUCGAGCGAAGUUUUUCUGAUGCUUGCACCGGAAAAACUUAGCGGCGAACGGGUGAGUAACACGUAAAGAACCUGCCUCAUAGACUGGGACAACUAUUGGAAACGAUAGCUAAUACCGGAUAACAGCAUUAACUGCAUGGUUGAUGUUUGAAAGUUGGUUUUGCUAACACUAUGAGAUGGCUUUGCGGUGCAUUAGCUAGUUGGUGGGGUAAAGGCCUACCAAGGCGACGAUGCAUAGCCGACCUGAGAGGGUGAUCGGCCACACUGGGACUGAGACACGGCCCAGACUCCUACGGGAGGCAGCAGUAGGGAAUCUUCCGCAAUGGGCGAAAGCCUGACGGAGCAACGCCGCGUGAGUGAAGAAGGAUUUCGGUUCGUAAAGCUCUGUUGUUAGGGAAGAAUGAUUGUGUAGUAACUAUACACAGUAGAGACGGUACCUAACCAGAAAGCCACGGCUAACUACGUGCCAGCAGCCGCGGUAAUACGUAGGUGGCAAGCGUUGUCCGGAAUUAUUGGGCGUAAAGCGCGCGCAGGUGGUUUAAUAAGUCUGAUGUGAAAGCCCACGGCUCAACCGUGGAGGGUCAUUGGAAACUGUUAAACUUGAGUGCAGGAGAGAAAAGUGGAAUUCCUAGUGUAGCGGUGAAAUGCGUAGAGAUUAGGAGGAACACCAGUGGCGAAGGCGGCUUUUUGGCCUGUAACUGACACUGAGGCGCGAAAGCGUGGGGAGCAAACAGG